rnacentral:lncRNA from 1 species
GUUGCCAACAGAUGGCUGUGACCGGGGCUCAGUGGCUCACGUGACGGUAGACUCUUUCCUGUCUGUCUAUCUCAUGACGUCACCACAACAACACACCUGUCGAGCUCUUGGUCAGUUGUGGGAUGUUAACAGCAGGUGUGUGAUACAAUUCUCCAUCACUUUAAGGAAGAAUAAAGAUCAGAGAAGAAGAUGGAUUCACACUUCCGUGAGGAAAGGCUUCAUAAAUGAUCAAUUAUGAAGGUUGUUGGAGGGAGAGAACUACUACCAUUACUUUACCAAGAAGACUUAUAAAAGGAUUAAGAAUUGAUCAAUACCACAACGGCCAGAUGUUACAACAAAACAUUGGGAAAUUGAACUGCUCCACCAUGGCUGAAAAUGGUAACUGGUGUAUGGAACAAGAGCUGUCACCAUGACACUGGCACCGUGGCACUGUACCACAUAUAACAAGGUGACACUGGCACCGUGGCACUGUACCACAUAUAACAAGAUGAGUUAACAACUAAACCUUGAGAAACUAACAUGUGGAUCAUGGAGACACUGCUGUUACAGAGCAGCAGUGGUCAGCCCAGGACAUGACAGUGUCUAGGGCUGCAGCAGCAGGCAGUCCAGGGCAGCAGUGGCCAGCCCAGGACAGGACAGUGUCUAGGGCAGU